rnacentral:rRNA from 1 species
UAAAACGGAGGGCGCAAGCGUUGUUCGGAAUCACUGGGCGUAAAGCGUGCGUAGGCGGCGCGGUAAGUCAGAUGUGAAAUCUCUGGGCUCAACCCGGAAACUGCAUCCGAUACUGCCGUGCUGGAGUAAUGGAGGGGUAGCUGGAAUUCUCGGUGUAGCAGUGAAAUGCGUAGAUAUCGAGAGGAACACUAGUGGCGAAGGCGAGCUACUGGACAUUUACUGACGCUGAGGCACGAAGGCCAGGGUAGCGAAAGGGAUUAGAUACCCCUGUAGUCCUGGCAGUAAACGGUGCGCGUUUGGUGUGGGAGGAUUCGACCCCUUCUGUGCCGGAGCUAACGCGUUAAACGCGCCGCCUGGGAAGUACGGCCGCAAGGCUA